rnacentral:sRNA from 1 species
GUAUGUGACAGUGGCCUGGCUGUGACCUCUGUCCCCUCACUGAUUGUCAGGGUUGAUUUGGCUGGUCUGUCUGGCUAGGUGGGUACCCCUCCUUCCUCAGAGCUCCAUGUGCACCCCUCCCAAGGCUGCGUGGUUGGUCCAAGAGGACAACCUUCCCCUUUUCCUCCAGAGAAGACCAUCCUUGGGCCAAGGGCAUACACGGAGAUGCACUCUCCAGCUCAAACCUUCAAACAAGCUUUUGAGGUUCGUAAAGGAACCAGGGAGGGCUGAUGGGAGAGCU